CUUCCUUUCCCAAAACCCACCUUCUUUCCCCAAAACCCACUACUUAGCAGCUUCAGGAAAAUCAAAGAAAGAAAUAAAGAAAAGAAAGGAAAGAAAGGGAAGAACGGAUAGGGUGAAAAAAGGGGAAGAGGGAAACAGAUCCACAGAGGAAGAGGAAUGGGGAAGAGAGAGAUCUGAGGGGGAGAGGGAGACCGUGACUGGCGCCGCCGCCGCCUCGCCCAGUUGCCGUGCUUCUCGUCGUCGCCACCAAAAGGAAGAGGGAGAGAGAGCCCCGUCGAACAGAACGCGAGAAGGGAGAGGAGCUGUGUUCUGUUGUUGACGUUGCACCACCGCCACGCCGUCGUUUGUGCUCGUCGCCGUCGAGGGUCCAUCCACGUCGUCGCUGGAGCCUGAACACCACUGCAACCACCGCGUGUUAUUAUCUUCAGAUCCGCCGCCGUUUGAGUCGCGAACAGGGGAACGCGCGCGAAGGAAACCGUCGCAGAGCUGUCGUCGCCCCCGUUUUGAUGGGCUCGCCGUUGUUCUGCUCGCGUGGCUGCUGCGUUGCCGAAGCUCCUCGUCGUUGCUGCUGGCACCGGAAAUCGCCUUUCAAGCCAAUAUAUGUUGGGAGGAGUCCGAGCAAGAAAAGGAAGAAAGUGGUGAUGGAUACCUCCGCUGCUGCUGUUGUUACUAUCGGUGUUCUGGAGCUUGUAGUUACUACCAUUUUUGGGUGAUGAACCUAGCUGUGUCCUUGCUGCUGAUUGAUUGUAGUGAGAGACGUUAUAGCCAUUACUUUUUAUCUUGAGUCACCAUUGUCAUAUCUCGGCGCUGCCGCCCUUGUUUGGAACUACUAAAUGUUGUCUCCGCCACUGUCGAUUUAUCUAUUGCAAAGUCAUAAUUGAUAAUGGAGCUGCUAAGAUUGCUGCUGCUGCCAUGAACUGGGGAUAAAGGGGGUUAUUGAGUUAAAUUCUGCGAUUGAGACAUUGAGGAACCGGAUGAAGAAGCAUUAAGAAGAGUUAUACUGCGUUUGGUUUAUAUGUUGUUGUACUAAUUAGUUUAUUUUCUUCCCUCGUCUUUGUUAUUACAAGUUUUUAAGAGGGAUAGGAAUUGUAUGUUUUAUAUGUAUAUUAUAUUAUGAGUUAAUAUGUAAGGAGUCUUGU